rnacentral:rRNA from 1 species
AGAGUUUGAUCAUGGCUCAGAACGAACGCUGGCGGCAGGCUUAACACAUGCAAGUCGAACGCACCGCAAGGUGAGUGGCAGACGGGUGAGUAACGCGUGGGAACCUUCCCUUUGGUACGGAAUAACUUCGGGAAACCGAAGCUAAUACCGUAUAAGUCCUUCGGGAGAAAGAUUUAUCGCCAAAGGAUGGGCCCGCGUUGGAUUAGCUAGUUGGUAGGGUAAAGGCCUACCAAGGCUACGAUCCAUAGCUGGUCUGAGAGGAUGAUCAGCCACACUGGGACUGAGACACGGCCCAGACUCCUACGGGAGGCAGCAGCGGGGAAUACUGGACAAUGGGGGCAACCCUGAUCCAGCCAUGCCGCGUGAGUGAAGAAGGCCUUAGGGUUGUAAAGCUCUUUUGGCGGGGACGAUAAUGACGGUACCCGCAGAAUAAGCCCCGGCUAACUUCGUGCCAGCAGCCCGCGGUA